GAAGGGCUACGGGGCGCGUGAUCAGCCUUUAUCCCAGAGGCCGAUAAUCGUUCGCAUAGGGAGCUGUCCCUGCCAAGGCCGUGGCUUUGGUAUAUGGCGCCCACCUGUUUGACAGGGCCACAUGCGGAUACCGUUGCUGACACGGCCUCCGUGGCUUUUCU
rnacentral:other from 1 species